rnacentral:rRNA from 1 species
CGAACGCUGGCGGCGGGCCUCAUACAUGCAAGUCGAGCGCGAAAGUCCGCAAGGAUGAGUAAAGCGGCGCACGGGUGAGUAACACGUGGAUAAUCUACCCUUUGGAUUGGAAUAACCUGUCGAAAGACGGGCUAAUGCCGAGUAAGCUCUCGGGAGCGUGAAGCUCUUGCGAGGAAAGAUGGCGCAAGCUAUCGCCGAUGGAUGAGUCUGCGUCCCAUUAGUUAGUUGGUGAGGUAACAGCUUACCAAGACGAUGAUGGGUACCUGGUCUGAGAGGAUGAUCAGGCACACUGGAACUGAAACACGGUCCAGACUCCUACGGGAGGCAGCAGUAGGGAAUAUUGCGCAAUGGACGAAAGUCUGACGCAGCCACGCCGCGUGAGUGAGGAAGGCCUUCGGGUUGUAAAGCUCUGUCAUCCGGGAAAAACGGCUAUCUGGGGAAAGUUCAGGUAGCGUGAUGGUACCGGAGGAGGAAGCACCGGCAAACUCUGUG